UACGGAGGGUGCAAGCGUUAUCCGGAUUCACUGGGUUUAAAGGGUGCGUAGGCGGCAUAUCAAGUCAAAGGUGAAAGCCUGCAGCUCAACUGUGGAAUUGCCUUUGAAACUGGUAUGCUUGAAUCUGGUUGAAGUGGCUGGAAUAUAUCAUGUAGCGGUGAAAUGCUUAGAUAUGAUGUAGAACACCGAUUGCGAAGGCAGGUCACUAAGCCAACAUUGACGCUGAGGCACGAAAGCGUGGGUAGCGAACAGG
rnacentral:rRNA from 1 species